UAGGGAAUCUUCGGCAAUGGACGCAAGCCUGACCGAGCAACGCCGCGUGAGUGAAGAAGGCUUUCGGAUCGUAAAACUCUGUUGUUAGAGAAGAACAAGGACGUUAGUAACUGAACGUCCCAUGACGGUAUCUAACUAGAAAGCCACGGCUAACUACGUGCCAGCAGCCGCGGUAAUACGUAGGUGGCAAGCGUUGUCCGGAAUUAUUGGGCGUAAAGCGAGCGCAGGCGGUUUCUUAAGACUGAUGUGAAAGCCCCCGGCUCAACCGGGGAGGGUCAUUGGAAACUGGGAGACUUGAGUGCAGAAGAGGAGAGUGGAAUUCCAUGUGUAGCGGUGAAAUGCGUAGAUAUAUGGAGGAACACCAGUGGCGAAGGCGGCUCUCUGGUCUUGUACUGACGCUGAGGCUCGAAAGCGUGGGGAGCAAACAGG
rnacentral:rRNA from 1 species